GGAUUCCUGCCGAUGAAGAAUUAGCCAUUCAAUCGUAGCGAGUCUUGGAGGGUAAGGGGUAACUCUUACCUUUAAGCGUAGACAGUUAGGUGAUGGGCCGUAAGCCAAGGUUGAAGGGAUUGAGCCCCGUAAUCCUAAUAUAGGAGUGCUGAUGCACUGGACCGUGUAGAAAGCAACACUUCUCUUUCGUUUAUGGCAAGAAAGAAGAAGGCUCCUCGGGGUCAACUGCCC
rfam:Bacillus cellulosilyticus DSM 2522, complete genome.